AUUUAAGUUUGCCAUUGUGACUAUGACGCUCACUGAAGAUUUAAGUUCAUCUGUUCAUAAAUAUGUUCACAUCAGCUAUUUGUUUGUGUUUUCAUUAGUUUGUUCUGCGUUUCAGGUAACGUGUUGUGUGUUUGUAUUUUAUUUAUCCAUUCGUCUGUUUGGAUUGGAUCCAAAAUCCGACAAAUUUUCUUUGAUCACCUUGUCCAUCAAACAAACAAACAAAAUUUCAAAGUUGAUGAUAAUAAAUUUCCAAUAUCUUAAAAAUUUGUUAUAAUCAUUCGAUUAUAUCAUCUGAUCUCUGGAAUGAAUUUCUGAAUGUUUUUUUCCAUGUCCCGGUGUUCUUUAUGAACAAGCAUCUUGACCUUUAAAUAUUACUCUGUGUUUAUAAAUAUCGAUUAAAGUUGAUGUCAUUGAUCAAUCACUAUAAGUUUACCAUUCAUAAGAUAAUUUGAAUUAUCCAUCUGUUGUUCAUUGGUGAUCUAUUCUAUUUUCAUAGAAUUUCGCUCAAAUAAAUAAUGAUGGAACCAUUCUGCUAAUUUGACUACGUGUGUUUGUGAAUCGAAAAAAAAUUUCAACAAAUACAUCUUUAUAACAAUUGUACGGUAA